UCCGUAGGUGGAUAAUUAAGUCAGAGGUGAAAUCCUGCAGCUCAACUGUAGAAUUGCCUUUGAUACUGGUUAUCUUGAGUCAUUAUGAAGUGGUUAGAAUGUGUAGUGUAGCGGUGAAAUGCAUAGAUAUUACACAGAAUACCGAUUGCGAAGGCAGAUCACUAAUAAUGUACUGACACUGAGGGACGAAAGCGUGGGGAGCGAACAGGAUUAGAUACUCUGGUAGUCC
rnacentral:rRNA from 1 species